rnacentral:rRNA from 1 species
UACGUAGGUGGCAAGCGUUGUCCGGAUUUACUGGGCGUAAAGAGCGCGCAGGCGGUCGAAUAAGUCGAAUGUGAAAGCCCCGGCUUAACUGGGGAGGGUCAUUCGAUACUGCUCGACUUGAAGGCAGGAGAGGGUAGUGGAAUUCCCGGUGUAGUGGUGAAAUGCGUAGAUAUCGGGAGGAACACCAGUGGCGAAGGCGACUACCUGGCCUGUUCUUGACGCUGAGGCGCGAAAGCUGGGGGAGCAAACGGGG